rnacentral:lncRNA from 1 species
GCACGGUAUUAUGUUGGUCCAGUUCCUCUACUCUGCAUUGCAACAAAGUGUAAGGGGUUUCGUAUUUUCUUCAUCUUCAAAUAAAACAAUCCUUCUCAAUAAAAGAAUAAGAGAAAUUGAGAGCUAAGACCAUUUUCUUUCAUUGUACCUCUGUUUCCUCUGCUCCUUGCUCUCUUGGUCAGGCCAAAUGGUGUGUGGUUUGUCCAUUUCUUCUUGACCCCACAUCAAAAAGCAGCAUCCUGGGCUCUCCCAUCUCUCUAUCCCCUUAUCAAGACAGAAUUUGAUGCACUGCUGUCUUGGAUUCUUCCUAGUCAAAAGGAAGCUUGAAAUAUCUCCACUGCUUCUCUGUUUCUUUGAGUCAAAGGACAGUCUGGUUUUAUCUGUUUCUUCUCAUCAUUUUCAAAAUGCAUCACUGUGAGAUCCACUAACCCAAUACCUGUUUUUCAAAUAAUCAAAAUCAUAAACACCAAGAUGUUUACACAUUCAGGUAACACGUCUCUUGACAAUGCAGGUGUGUUUACGUACACACCUGCAUUCAAAGGAAGUACCAUUGUUCUUGUGCAUUUGACAACAUUCAUUUAGUUAACUCCAAAUUUUAGCAAUCCAGAAUCUGUAACUUCUGCAAAAGUUACCUAGUUGUUCAGGGAACAUGCCCCAUCCAAACUAUCUGUAUUUGGGCUUCAUGGUUGUUUUUGGCUUUGCUUUUCUUUUUCUUGUGGUUGUUACUCCUCUUAAAAGGACUAUUGAUUCAUGAUUCAAUGGAUUAUUUGUUGUUUCUGAUAAAAAUAAAUAAAUAAACUAAAAAAAAAAAGAAAAAGAAAAAAAAAAAGAUUUGAUGAAAAUUUUUGGAGUAGCCAUUCAUCAAAUUGCCAUGAGCUUCUCUCCUUAUUUACAUAGUAUAUCACUAUUGCAGAGUCUCCUACUAGAAGGUUAGGUAAACCCUCAUCUUUAGCAAGCUUUAGUCCUACCAUCAACACUAAAAUCUCUGCUUCAAUGGCUAGACCCACUCUAGCAUUCUUAGGGAAUGCUUUCACUUAUGCCCUUUUAUGAUUU